UUGUUGCCAUAAUCUUCCAAACAUAGGCAGAGAAUGCCUCGAUUUUCGUUCUCUUGUUACCGUCGGCAGAUGCAAGAGUUUGCAGGUGAUUGAUGCUGGAGGCGUCAACAAAGUAAAGGCGCUUGAGCAAGAUGCCGGUUUUAGGUAUGUUUCUAAUAUCUUCAAGCGUGCACUUGACAAAAACAUGAUUGAAAUAAGGGUGAUACGUAGGAGGGAGGCGCGGUGGAAGGCUUCUCCCGAGAUCAAGAUCCGGUAUGCAAGAGAGAGGCAUGUCACGAGCUAGUUGGGACCACGAGGAGAGAAAGUUGCCAAAAGCAGUGGCAUCACCUAGAGAAUGGUCGA
rnacentral:lncRNA from 1 species